GACGAACGCUGGCGGCGUGCCUAAUACAUGCAAGUAGAACGCAGUUGCGAACGGGUGAGUAAGGCGUAGGUAACUGCCUCAUAGCGGGGGAUAACUAUUGGAAACAAUAGCUAAUACCUCAUACUGUGAGAUGCACCUGCGUUGUAUUAGCUAGUUGGUGAGGUAAAGGCUCACCAAGGCGACCAUACAUAGCCGAACUGCGAGGGUUAUCGGCCAAACUGGGACUGGGACACGGACCAGAAGCCUACGGGAGGCAGCAGUAGGGAAUUUUCGGCAAUGGACGGAAGUCUGACAUAGCAAAGCCGCGUGAAUGGAGAAGGGUUUCGGAUCGUAAAGCUCUGUUGGUAGAGGAGCGGUAACUAACCAGAAAGGGACGGCUAACUACGUGCCAGCAGCCGCGGUAAUAC
rnacentral:rRNA from 1 species